rnacentral:rRNA from 1 species
CAAAUGUAUGUUGACGUAUUCUGAAAGGAUACUUCUUCGGACAAUAUACAAGGUGCUGCAUGGUUGUCGUCAGCUCGUGCCGUGAGGUGUCGGGUUAAGUCCCAUAACGAGCGCAACCCCUAUCAUUAGUUGCCAUCAGGUCAAGCUGGGGACUCUAAUGAAACUGCCUACGCAAGUAGUGAGGAAGGUGGGGAUGACGUCAAAUCAGCACGGCCCUUACGUCCAGGGCUACACACGUGCUACAAUGGCCGGUACAAAGGGCAGCUACCUGGUGACAGGAUGCUAAUCUCAAAAGCCGGUCUCAGUUCGGAUCGGAGUCUGCAACCCGACUCCGUGAAGCUGGAAUCGCUAGUAAUCGUGAAUCAGAAUGUCACGGUGAAUACGUUCCCGGGCCUU